CCCAGAGAGACAGUAUUGCUACUGACCCCUGUAAAGGAGAGCCAGUCACCUUGAAGGCCAGCAGGGGGGAUCCAGGAACCAGCUUGUGCCCAGAGGGAAAGAGUUAAGCUGCUGACUCUGACAGAGCUGGCCUUGCAGGCCAGGGAGUACAGCUUCAGGCAUGGGGGUGGCAGGAGCCACAGAGCCGGCUGCUGAUAUGAGACACAGCUGGAGCAGAAAGCUGAGUUAAAGGCGGACAGCAAGAGACAGCUAGCUUUGAAUCCAAAGACUUUCAGCUUGCAGAAUUUGCUCUUCUUCCAGCGAGGCUCACCUUUUCAUAUUAAGGCCUUCAACUAAUUAGAUGAGACCUACCCA
rnacentral:lncRNA from 1 species